rnacentral:tRNA from 3 species
CGCGCACGUGGUGCGCGCGGUGCACCGCUCGAUGCUGGCGGGCCGAAUCACCGUCGGCUCGGCGGCCGGCGGGGGCGAC